rnacentral:lncRNA from 1 species
AUCCCCCACAAAAGCUAAAGCCAGACCUUUUUUCUCUAGAAAUUUGUUUUAAUUAUUUUUAGUAACAUGGCCUUUGAUCCCUAGAAGAUCAACAUACCCUGUAUCUCCACGUGUCAGCAGACAAUUCAUCGGAAUUUGAUAGCUAUAUUGAAACCAUUUGGUAUAUAUGCACAUGAAACCAUAUACUUUGCUCCCCUUAUUUUUGUUACUACAUUACUAUAUUAUUGCAUUUUGCAACAUUGUCCCUUUCUCUCUCUAAAAUUUUGCAAAGUUGUCAUUUUGUUAACAAGAAGUGGAAGAAAAAUAAGAAGAAGAGAUAAUUUCAUGGAUCUGAAAGAAACUGAGCUGUGUUUGGGGUUGCCUGGUGGUGGAGAAAGAGAUAAAAUCAAAGGGAAAAGAGGGUUUUCUGAAACUGUUGAUUUGAAACUUAAUUUUCAUACCAAUGAUUCUUCUUCUCCUAUGGAUCUCAAGGAGAAGAUCAAGACUCCUACUACUAAAGAAAUUGCUAAUUGUAACAAGGAUUCAGUCAAGCAAACUUAAUUUUCAAACCAAUGAUUCUUCUUCUGCUAUGGAUCUCAAGGAGAAAAUCAAGACUCCUACUACUAAAGAAAUUGCUAAUUGUAACAAGGAUUCAGUCAAGCCACCUGCCAAGUAAGUCUCUUUUUUGAUUUCUUGAGUCGAGAGUUUAUAAGGCAGAGAGGUAAGGUAUACGUACGUACAAAUAUGGAGUCAGGAUUUGAAGUUACUGGGUUCAGGACUCUAUUAUUUUUAUGUUUGUGGGUUCAAAAGUAAGAAUAUGUACUUAUUUAAUGAAUUUUUUAAGACAGAUAUAUGAUUUCGACUAAAGUUACUGGGUUCGGCUGAACCUGUACCUCCGCCCUUGCGUACGUACAACUCUCCCAGAAUCAAUUACAGAAUUAUACUGAGUAUGUUAUUGUUGUUGUUGUUUGUGUAGUGGCGUACGAUUAAAGAGGCUCAUCUAUAUAAUCUUGUUCACUUAAAUACGAGUAUUUUUUCAAUUCUUUUCUUUCAUUUUUCAUGAUUUUUAACGUCAUCUCAUGGUGGGACAUUGAGGAAUAUUCAGAAAUGCAUUUUCUUUCACGCAUUUUAACUUUCGCUUCAAACAAGUUCAACUAUAGGUCUCUAGCUCCAGUGUUAAUUAAUGAGUAUUACUAUCAGAUACCUUGACUAGAGAGAAUUUAAUCACUAAAAAAAGUAAAAGUUUAGCCAUGUUUUCUCCAUAUCUAAUAUGCUAGUGUUUAUAAAAAAAAUCUUUUUUAAGAAAAAAAAAUUAAAAUGGUUUGACUAUGUGACAUACACACUUCUCUGACUAAAAACAGAAGUUGGCGUAAUCCCUUUUCUUUUAUUUCCUAAAACUAAGUGUAAUUUUUAUACAAUUAAUUUAUAAAAAAAAAUUGAAUUUUUGUAUUAUAUAUUGUA